GCUAUAUCAUGUUGAAACACCGGUUCUCGUACGAUCACCGAAGUUAAGCAACGUCGAACCUGGUCAGUACCAAGAUGGGUGAACGCUUGGGAACACCAGAUCUUGUAA